GUCACUUUCUAGGCAAUCAUACAGUGUUUGACUUCUUACGGAAAGCAGGGGUUGAGGUCUUCAAUGUACCAACAGAUACACCACUUAAUAGUUCUAAAAGCUCGCACAGUUCAGCGGACGGUGGGGAGGGUGAGGAAACAAGCGAGGGCAGCAGUCGCAAGCAUAGAAAGCGGGACAGGAGACGGAAAAAGAAGAGGCAACGACUAGGAGAGCCAGAGAUUGGUCAUGUUAUCUCUGUACCUGUUCCGGUUAGGGCGGAAAAUAAUAGACAGUUCAAUGAACUUUGGAUUCCUUUAGAAAGGAUAAGUGAAGUCCCAUCAAGUAGAAGUCCUCAAAAAGACAACAGUCACGUCACGGCGAGGCCAACGCAAAUAUACGCAGCCCACAACCUUCCCAGCGUCUCAGCGGGCAGUGGGGGCAGCAGACAGUCUGUCUCUUCUAUUCUCUACCUCUCACUUGCAUUACACAUAGUAUUGUAUAUUUUAAGUCGAGUAGAUAGAUAGUGUUAAACCAUGGUGUUCAUAGUGUAUGGUGUUCUGCUUCAGAACCAAUAGGUCAUAAAUCCUUGAUUAGACUUAAUGCCUUUUGCCCCUAAUAUGCAAUGUUCACAACCGGGAGUAUUACAUGAAACACAUAGUUAGUUUCACUGGCUUUUGUUAAAAGCUACCGAAAUCCUUGCAUUUGAUUGGCAAUUUGCUAGUGAAAAUUACUAUUUCAUGAAACACUCCCCAUAUCAUUUCAUCUGCCAAGUGUCAAAAGGACAUUCUGGAAUACAGAACGUCCUUGUGCCACUAAAGAAAUGAUACGUGUAUUGGUAACUUGGCUAUUGUCAGGGGAUAAUAGAUAGAGAGAUAUAUAUAUUACUAAGGGAUAUAUUAAGAAUCAUACAUAUAUAUAUUUAUAUUUUUCGCUAAAGUACGGCUCUAUGAGUUGUAUUUGAUUAUGCUAUGGUGCAAGAAUGAUGUGAUUUUUUAACUUGUAUGUUCAUUUAUGAAGCCUGGGGUCUGUUUCAUGAAAAGUUAAAUGUAGCAGGCAUCCUCUAAUCAAUGUAGAGAUAUGUUAUAUACCAUACACAACUUAAAAAUUAACUCUUUGUGAAACUUUUCCCAGAAAUAGCUUCUGGGGCUAAAACAAAAAAGAGUAGAUUGCAUUUUCACAUUGUAAAUUUGUUUUCUUAAAGUCUUGUUCAGACAAAGCUCAAUAACGUUUACUGCUGUGUUUACACAGUGUAUCAUAUAGCAUGUUGUGCCGUUCCUGAAUAAAACCUAUUUUCUAAAGCUAAUCAUCAUAUACUCUCUAAAUUGGCAAUGUGAUGAAAGUUAAAAUGUUUAAAACUCAAAUAGGUAACUUAUCAUUAUAAUUAUGCCUUUUUUCAUUCAUUUUGAUUGUUUUAUCCAUAUUUAUUAUUUUUCAAACAUAUCAAAAUGAAUAGAAAAGUAUUGAUUAAUGCCAAUUUAAGGAGCAAAGAAAAGGUUAUCCUGGACAGUAUGAAAAUUAUAUUCUCUCUCUAGCUCUCUUGGUUGAUAAACAUGCACUAUACACGUUGUCAUUACCAUUUGUCCAAGUUGAGAAAACAAACCCAUGAGACUUCAUAUUUUGUGCUAUCUUUCUAACAAAUUUGAUGACUCCAUUGAUUUUUUGCAUCCACACGGCAAAAAACACAUCUUAUGCUGUGGCCGCAUUUGUUUCCUUGCAGCAUAUCCCAUUCGCCAUGGAAACGAAAUGUUGCAAAGCAUUAUUGCUGAGCCCGUCUGUUCUUGUCUGAACAAGAUUUUAUUUGAGAACAAGAAGGGCAUUAGUAUGUACUAUUACACAGUACUAAUGCCCUCUUGGCUCUAAGCAGAAUAUUGUUCUUUAAACUGUGCCCAAUGUAUGUAAGAGUACUAUUUAUUGCAACACUGUAAAUAAAACAGCACUGAUGAUUGCAACGAUGCACAAGGCAGUAUUGCUUAUCAUUUAGUUAUUUAAAAAAAAUGUUUAUGCAUGAAGGCAACUUUGACAUGGGACUAAGAUGAAAUUAAUUUAGAGGACAGUACAAGAAGAAACAACUUCACUUUGUGUUUAUCAUGUGCUAAAUUCCACACAUUGCCAACCUAUUAAACUGUGCUAAAUUCUA